GAAGUUGGUGAACUGAUGACAGGGAAGCCGGCGACCGAAGCCCCGGUGAACGGCGACCGUAACUAUAACGGUCCUAAGGUAGCGAAAUUCCUUGUCGGGUAAGUUCCGACCCGCACGAAAGGCGUAACGAUCUGGGCACUGUCUCGGAGAGAGGCUCGGUGAAAUAGACAUGUCUGUGAAGAUGCGGACUACCUGCACCAGGACAGAAAGACCCUAUGAAGCUUUGCUGUUCCCUGGGAUUGGCUUUGGGCCUUUCCUGCGCAGCUUAGGUGGAAGGCGAAGAAGGCCCCCUUCCGGGGGGGCCGGAGCCAUCAGUGAGAUACCACUCUGGAAGAGCUCGGAUUCUAACCUUGUGUCAGACCCGCGGGCCAAGGGACAGUCUCAGGUACACAGUUUCUAUGGGGCGUAGGCCUCCCAAAAGGUAACGGAGGCGUGCAAAGGUUUCCUCGGGCCAGACGGACAUUGGUCCUCGAGUGCAAAGGCAGAAGGGAGCUUGACUGCAAG
rnacentral:ncRNA from 1 species